AACGCUGGCGGCGUGCCUAAUACAUGCAAGUCGAACGCACAGCGAAAGGUGCUUGCACCUUUCAAGUGAGUGGCGAACGGGUGAGUAACACGUGGACAACCUGCCUCAAGGCUGGGGAUAACAUUUGGAAACAGAUGCUAAUACCGAAUAAAACUUAGUGUCGCAUGACACAAAGUUAAAAGGCGCUUCGGCGUCACCUAGAGAUGGAUCCGCGGUGCAUUAGUUAGUUGGUGGGGUAAAGGCCUACCAAGACAAUGAUGCAUAGCCGAGUUGAGAGACUGAUCGGCCACAUUGGGACUGAGACACGGCCCAAACUCCUACGGGAGGCUGCAGUAGGGAAUCUUCCACAAUGGGCGAAAGCCUGAUGGAGCAACGCCGCGUGUGUGAUGAAGGCUUUCGGGUCGUAAAGCACUGUUGUAUGGGAAGAACAGCUAGAAUAGGAAAUGAUUUUAGUUUGACGGUACCAUACCAGAAAGGGACGGCUAAAUACGUGCCAGCAGCCGCGGUAAUACGUAUGUCCCGAGCGUUAUCCGGAUUUAUUGGGCGUAAAGCGAGCGCAGACGGUUUAUUAAGUCUGAUGUGAAAGCCCGGAGCUCAACUCCGGAAUGGCAUUGGAAACUGGUUAACUUGAGUGCAGUAGAGGUAAGUGGAACUCCAUGUGUAGCGGUGGAAUGCGUAGAUAUAUGGAAGAACACCAGUGGCGAAGGCGGCUUACUGGACUGCAACUGACGUUGAGGCUCGAAAGUGUGGGUAGCAAACAGGAUUAGAUACCCUGGUAGUCCACACCGUAAACGAUGAACACUAGGUGUUAGGAGGUUUCCGCCUCUUAGUGCCGAAGCUAACGCAUUAAGUGUUCCGCCUGGGGAGUACGACCGCAAGGUUGAAACUCAAAGGAAUUGACGGGGACCCGCACAAGCGGUGGAGCAUGUGGUUUAAUUCGAAGCAACGAAGAACCUUACCAGGUCUUGACAUCCUUUGAAGCUUUUAGAGAUAGAAGUGUUCUCUUCGGAGAUAAAGUGACAGGUGGUGCAUGGUCGUCGUCAGCUCGUGUCGUGAGAUGUUGGGUUAAGUCCCGCAACGAGCGCAACCCUUAUUGUUAGUUGCCAGCAUUCAGAUGGGCACUCUAGCGAGACUGCCGGUGACAAACCGGAGGAAGGCGGGGACGACGUCAGAUCAUCAUGCCCCUUAUGACCUGGGCUACACACGUGCUACAAUGGCGUAUACAACGAGUUGCCAACCCGCGAGGGUGAGCUAAUCUCUUAAAGUACGUCUCAGUUCGGAUUGUAGUCUGCAACUCGACUACAUGAAGUCGGAAUCGCUAGUAAUCGCGGAUCAGCACGCCGCGGUGAAUACGUUCCCGGGUCUUGUACACACCGCCCGUCACACCAUGGGAGUUUGUAAUGCCCAAAGCCGGUGGCCUAACCUUUUAGGAAGGAGCCGUCUAAGGCAGGACAGAUGA
rnacentral:rRNA from 1 species